AAGUUAUAGUAGAAGACACUUGCCCAGAGUGCCAUGUAGUGGGACUGAACCUGAAACUAUAUGGUUGGGAAACAAGCUUCUUAACCACACAGCCGCAUCUGCACCUAUAAGACAUGGAUAUUAAAAUUUUAAAACAAGAUUCAGGACAGAUCAAUCACUAGGGGACUUUAUAAAUCAGAAAUACGGGUUAUUACAUAACUCACUGAGCUACAUAAUCAUGUAUUGCCAGUAGGUUUUGCAGAUUUAGAAACUUUUGGAGUGUAUGAAUUUAAUGAUAUAAUAUUAUUAGUGUCUCAUGAAAUCCUUUUAUUGGAAAAGUUUCACUAACUAUAAGUAUCCUCCUCUAUUUAUCUUUCAGACCUGUUUCAUUACAAUCUCUCUAACUUAUUUGAAGUCAAGUAAAUAAAAACAUAGCUAACACCCAUUUGUACAUGUUCUAACACCAUUCUCAUUCGUAAAUAUCAUGUCCAACCACACUAAUUAAGAGAAUCUAUGAGAGACUAAUAGUCACAAAUCAUUAUUUAAUCCUGUAAAGUUUUUCUCCAUUUAGUUGGACUGAAUCAACAAGUUUUUAUGUUUUGAUUGCCUCAAGUUAUAAAAUCAGAAAGUCUAUUCAGAAAUGCAUUCAUUCAUACAAUAAUCUUCAAUUGAUUUCAGGAAAAAAAAAAAACUGCACCACACCAUUAGAACGAACUAUCAGACUACUAACAGUGUCAACUAUCCAGUUGUAUGCUGCACUAAAUGGUAAAUAAAGUCAACCGUAGAAGUUGCACACAACCUGCAUAUGUGCAUUCAGAUUACCUCCCUUAAUCUAGACCAGUCUAUUUCUCAGACAUCAGGAACAUGUCAUAACUUCUUGAUUGCUAUGUCUUGUAUAAGAAGAUAAUAAGGAGAACUGUUCAAAGUCAUUGUUGAUUUCACAGCUGUAGAAAAGGGAAAGUCUUUAGCUUCACAAUCACUCUGACAAUAUUAUUUAUUUCAAACAUAGCAAAUAUACCAAGUGGCAGGUACAGAAAUGUUUUUUUUUAAAUCGGUCACACAUAUUUUAUUUUUUUCCCUCCUCUUCUGAAAGCUGCAAACAACUGUACUUGUGCAGCCGCAUGCGCAGGUGCACAUAGCAGAACUGCAAGUGUAAGUAUAGAUGCACAAGAUGGUAGUUAGAAGUAAUCAGACAUUAAUGAAAACGAAGAAAGUAAUAUGCCAGUGUCUGGUAUUUCUAUUCCAUGGAACAGGUCUAGAAAUGAUAUCAACAUAAGAAAAUAAGGGAUUCAACAAUUAUUUCUACUUUUUCCAACAGAGAACAGUGACAACAUUAAUCUUAAUUGGUUAAACAACUGACUUUUUUAUUCUUUAUAUUUUGUUCAUUUGUUUCUAGUUUUGUUUUGGUUGUUUGUUUGUUUUGUUUGUUUUUUCACCAGAUAAAUUCAAUUAACAUAGGCACAGACCAACCAGUUGAAAAUUGGGUUGUGGGAAAGUUCAUGAAUAUAAAGAAAUUGCAAAACCAAUAUAUAUAUAUAUAUAUAUAUAUAUAUAUAUAUAAACAUACACACACACACACUUUAUAUAUAUAUAUAUAUGUAUAUAUUUACACAUAUGUGUGUUGUAAGUCCUCUUGCUCUUUUCUCAACUUAAAUGUUUCCAACUUAUUAAUUAUAUCAAGAUAAUUUUAUGAACAAAAUUAUCAACAGAUAAUCAUGAUAUUCUUUAAAAGACUUGGAGCUUCAUAUUAAUAUUUACUGAAGCGAUAAACAUUAUUUUAUAAAACCAUAGUUAUAGUGUGUGCGCGUGCAUGCACACGUGCACAUGUGUGUGUAACAAUUUUAAUUGAAGGAAAAGUCAACUUAGGAGAUUCCUCUAUUUGAUUAAAAUACAAAACUUUUUAUAAAUCUUGGAAAUUUGAGUGAGUGAAGAGAUAUUUCAAUUCAAGCAUCAGCUACUACACUGUUUCUUUGUUCAGUACCAUACUAAUAAUUGUGUUUCACUGAACCCAUAUCAAUUACUAUGGAUGAAAUAGAGAUAACAACGUCAGCACAAUGAUCAGUAUGUGAUGUGAACUGACAUAAACAACAGAAACUAAAAAUGCAGCAAAGAACAAACUUCUAUCAGGAAUUGGUCAACUAAGAUAUUUGGAAUUGUUCAAAGGAAGAAAGGAAAGAAAUCUUAUUGAAAGAUUGAAAAGUGCAAUAGCAGGAUCUCUACUUUCAGCCCAUUUCCUUUACUAACCAUAAAAUUAUAUUUAUCCAAAAUCUAAAAUAAUAUCAUUAUGUAAAUUUUCAUAGGCUAUUGAGCUAAUAAAAGGUGUGUGUGUGUGUGUGUGUGUGUGUGUGUGCUCGUGUGUGCAUGUACGUGCUGUGUGUAUGAGAAGUGGGGUGAGAUAAUUUUCAAGUUCAUGUUUUUUAACUAAAUCCAUAUUCAAAAUAUAUAAAAACUGAAACUGGAUUAAAAAUUCCCUCAGCUUGUAUUUGAAAAUUGUGUCCAACAUGAAAUUGUAGUUAAAAAAAAAUAAUCGGAACAUUAUGUUUUGCGAUCCCAGAGUUCUACUGAACAUGACAAUAUGGAGGAGAUACUCACAACAUACUAACUAAACAUUUACUAUUGGAUUCAUAUUUUGUAUUUAUAUAGUAGAAAAUAUCCCAAACUGAAAUGUUAUUCCAAACCAAACAACUCGAAAUAAUGAAUGGCACUAAUUAAAUUAUUUUCAAAUACAUCAAUACACUCGUUAACCCCUGAUGGCAUAAAGAAUUGAAGAACAUUUUCGCAAGAAGACAGCUUAUUUUAUUUUAGGACUUGGUAGAUGAAGUGAUCACUUACUUUCUCAACAAGGUUAACAAAUAGAUUCAUUAGAAAAAGUAACAACAGAUUGUUAUCAACUUUACACAUAAUGAGGAAGAUAUGUAAAUAUUUCUAAUAAAAACAAGUGUCUCCCAACUGACUGCACAAUAUCUAACAUAAACCUACAUCACCAGUUCAAUAAAGCUGUCUUCAGAUACACUGGAAAAAGAUACUUUGCAUGGGGAAUGUGAAAAUAUUUAGUCAAAACAAAACAAAACAUUAAUGAAUUGGAUAUGAUGGCUGAAGGUGAAUGGAGUAAGAUUAAUGGCUAAUGGCUGUGAGAGUUAUUAGAAUUGAUGCUGCAGAUAGCCUUAGCAAACCUCUAACCUCAUCUGUUGUUAUGUAUACAACACUCUUCAGUUUCAUAGUAAAAAUUCGAGAAUGAAUCUUAGAAAGCAAAAGAGAAUGAAAACAUUAGAUGAAGCAAUUCAGAACUUGUACAGUGGGGGGUGGGGGGUGCGCGCGUGUACAUUCAUAUUUAUUAUUCUAUGAUUCUGUGUAUACAAGUUGUGAAAAGUUAUUUACAGAAGUGCCAUUAUAAUGUUGUUAUUUUCCUAUUGUAGAUGAUUGUAGCUGUAAUUGGUUACAGCAUCAAUGUCAUUAGGACAGUGUGACCUUGCUGUGCUGUUGUUCUACAUAGCAAUUGAUUCAGGUCAUAACAGUCUUUCUACGAUACUAACAUCUCGAAGGAAUGGUAGAGGCAGAGAGUUGUAAAGGAUUUCUCUGUAGCAAGUUGGAGGUAAAAGUGAAGUGCUAUAUUCUAGAAAUACAAAUAGUUAAUGCGUACAUGUUGUAAAACAGCAGCAGCCUAGUUUCCCAGAAUAGAACACCUGCUGCUGCUGCUGCUGCUGCAUGUGAUGAUGUCAGAUAAUAUCAACAUCUCUUACUAAACAAACUUUCAAUACUGAAAUGAUCAGCUAGCAAGGCCAAUAAUUAGAUUCCAAUGAAUAACAUAAUAAAAUGGACAGCAGGUAACUUAUAUCAUUAAAAUUAAGAAAUAUCAAUUACUCAAACUGAAAACAUAAAUAUUUAAUUCAUUGAACUCAAAUAUAUCUUUGCAAGGAAAAACAGAUGACUAACUAAACAGUGUGUUGUUGAGACAUUUGAAA